rnacentral:lncRNA from 13 species
GGAAAAGGGGAUGGAAUGGGCGGGAAAAGGGGGUGGAAUCAGCAGGAAAAGGGGGUGGAAUCAGCGGGGAAAAGGGAUGGAAUGGGCGGGAAAAGCGGGUGGAAGCAUCGGGGAACAUGUGAAUGGAUGUGCGGGGAAAGGGAGUGGAAUUGGUGGGAAAUUGGAUGGAAUUGGCGGGGAAAGUGGCUGGAAUUGGUGGGAAAAGCGAGUGGAAUCACCGGGAAAAGGGGAUGGAAUCAGUGGGAAAAGUGCCUGGAAUUGCCGGGAUAAAUGGGCGGAAUUCUUGGGAAAAGGGGCUGGAAUUCCUGGGAAAAAGGGGCUGGAAUUGGCGGGAAAAUGAGAUGGAAUUGCCGGGAAAAGGGAAUGGAAUUGCCGGGAAAAUGGGAUGGAAGUCCUGGGAAAAUGGGAUGGAAUUCCUGGGAAAAGGGGCUGGAAUUGGUGGGAAAAAGGGGCUGGAAUUGGCGGGGAAAAGGGCUGGAAUAGAACUCGCUCUAAUAAUGAUCUAAUAAUGAAUAUUUGUAUUAAUUGUGACAAUAUUAUCGUACCAAGGACGGUGUAAUCGAUAACAAUAGAAUGAUAAUUAAUAUAUUAGUAUAGGGGUGUAAUAAAUAACGGUGUAAUAAUUAUUAGAGCGAUAAUAACAUCUAAUGAUGCGAUAAUGAAUGUGGCGCAAGAGAUAAUAAUAAUUAAUAGAGUGGUAUCAUAGAUAAUAAUAAUGAUUAAUGUAAUAAUUAAUACAGCCAUGUAAUACACGGCAAUAGAAUAAUUAAUAAUUAUUAUAAAAUAAUAAUCUAAUAAUGAUUAAUAGAGUCAUAUAACAGAUCACAGUAUAAUGAUUAAUAUGGUCAUAUAAUCAAUAAUAAUGAUGAUUAAUAAAGUCAUAUAAUCAAUAAUAAUCUAAUGAUGAUUAAUAAAGCGAUAGAUCAUAAUAUAAUGAUUAAUAUAGUUAAAUAAUCAAUAAUAAUCUAAUAGUGAUCAAUAAAGCGAUAUAAUAAAUAAUAAUUUAAUAAUUAUUAAUAUAGCCAUAUAAUAAAUUAUAAUAUGGCAAUAUAAUAAAUAAUAAUUUAAUAAUAAAUAAUAAAGUGAUAUAAUAAAUAAUAAUAAGGUGAUAUACUAUAUAAUAAAUUAAUAAUGAUUAAUAUAACUAUAUAGUAGGUAAUAUGGCGAUAUAACGCAUAAUAAUUUAAUAAUGAUUAAUAUAUCAUUAUAUAUAACCUAAUAAUGUGAUAAAUAGAUAUAAUUAAUAAUUAUCAUAAAUUAAUAAUACAUAAAAUAAGUUUUAAUACAAUAAUCAAUAGAGUGAUAUAAUUUAAGAAUGAUCAAUAUAGGGAGAUAAUGUAAUGAUGCAAUAAUUAAUGUAGCAAGAUAAUAAUACAAUAAUUAAUAGAGGGAGAUAACGUAAUGAUCCGAUAAUUAAUGUAGGGAGAUAACACAAUCAUAAAAUAAUUAAUGUAGGGAGAUGACAUAAUGAUGCAAUAAUUAAUGCAGGGAGAUAACAUAAUGAUGCAAUAAUUAAUAUGGCGAGAUGAUAAGAAUAAAGCGAGAUAACAGAAUAAUAAUUGAUAUAGCGAGAUAACAUAAUCAUAAAAUAAUUAAUGAAGCGAGAUAACAUGAUCCAGUAAUUAAUGUAGAGAGAUAACAUGGUACAAUAAUUAAUAAAGCGAUAUAAUAUAAUAAUACAAUAAUUAAUAUGGGGAGAUAAUACAAUAAUUAAUAAAGCGAGAUAACGAUCAUUUCAUAGCGAUCGAUAAAUGAUCGUUAUUAAAUGAUAAAUUAAAUCAUACCCAUGAUAGUGUUUAUAUAUCAGAUAUUUAUCUAUGAUAUAAAAAUAUAUCAUAUAAAAAUAUAUCAUAUAAAAAUAUAUCAUAGAUUCAUCUAUCACAUAUAUUUAUCACAUACCUUUAUAUAUCACAUACAUUUAUCUAUCGACACUUAUGUAUCACAUAUAAAUAUAUCAUAUAUUUAUAUAUCACAUGCUUUUAUAUAUCAUACAUUUAUCUAUCGUAUAUAAAUACAUCUUAUAUUUACGUAUCACAUAGAUUAUUGUAUCAUAGAUUUAUAUAUGACACGUAUUGAUAUAUAAUAUUUUAUAUAUAUUUCUA